UUUAUAUGCCCCAGUACAGGGGAACGCCAGGGCCAAAAAGGGGGAGUGGGUCGAUAGGGGAGUGGGGGUGGGUGGCUAUGGGGGACUUUUGGUAUAGCAUUGGAAAUGUAAAUGAGCUAAAUACCUAAAAAAAAUUGGACAAAAAAAAGAAAGAACUGCCCUGAAUGUUCUGACACUGCUUGGAGCAUAAAACAAGUAUGCUAUUCUUUCUUCAGGUGAGGAACCCAGUCCUGUUGCUGACCCAGAUGAAGAUAUAGCUGAGGAUUUUUAUGACGCUUUAGAGUCAUCUGAUCACACUGGCCAUAGCGGGUCCACUGUCCAGGUACCUGGUUUUCUUUGGGAACCAGAUAUGCUACUACUGCCGGUAAUGCCCUUGAUGUGGUUUCUUACAUUCCUGUUAUCAAUGAUGAUGUGGAUUAGAAAUUGAAUUCGCAAGUGUGCUACGAAGAAAAUGGCCAAGGACCUCCCUCCAAGAGAAAAGAUAAACCCGAUGCCGCUGGAGCUGAACACUCCAACACACACUGAUAUAUGAAGACAAAGUGUGUGAGGAGGAAGUUUAUUAUGUAUAUGUAAAUAUAAAAAUUUUAUAUAUAA
rnacentral:lncRNA from 1 species